GGGGCAGCGUUGUAAUAAAGAGUCUACUGGAGGUAGAGCUACUGAUUGGAUGCGGGGGCUUCACCGCCUACCAAAUCCUGACAAACUCCGAAUGCCAGUAGUAUGAUUUACAGCAGUGAGUGACUGGGUGCUAAUGUCCAGUCGCAAAAGAGGAACAACUCAGACCAGCAACUAAGGUCCCGAAGAAUAUGCUAAGUUGAUCUAACGAUGUUUUGUUGCAGAGACAGCUAGGAUGUUAGCUUGGAAGCAGCUAUUCAUUCAAAGAGUGCGUAACAGCUCACUAGUCGAGCGACAGAGCGUGGAUAAUAAACGGGCAUCAAGCAUAUCACCGAAGUUCUGGGCGCGAGAGCGCGGUAGGGGAGCAUUCCAUUCAGCGUCGAAGCAGUUUCGUGAGGAAUUGUGGAGCGUAUGGAAAAGCAAAUGUAGGCAUGAGUAACGAUAAUGCGGGAGAGUAACCCGCACACCGCAAGACCAAGGUUUCCUGAUCAACGCUAAUCGGAUCAGGGUUAGUCGGGUCCUAAGGGUAAGCCGAACGGCGAUCUCGAUGGAUAAUCGGUUAAUAUUCCGAUACUAACAUAUACCUCGAUGGAGAGACGAAGGAACGUAAGUGCCGCCACCUGACGGAAUAGGUGGUUAAAGGGCGUAGGUAUAGGGGCAGAUUAAGAGUUAGUCCUUGCUGAAACCUGACAGUACAGAGAGCCUACGGGCAAUUUGAUAGAGCACCCAAGUCGACUUCCGAGAAAAUCUUCUAAGUUAUAGUAUAUGUUACCCGUACCGUAAACCGACACAGGUGGUCGAGGAGAGUAUCCUAAGGUGCUCGAGUGAAUCACGGUUAAGGAACUAGGCAAAUUAACCCCGUAACUUCGGGAAAAGGGGUCCCUAUGAAAGUAGGGCGCAGCGAAGAGGUCCAGGCGACUGUUUAUCAAAAACACAGGGCUCUGCAAAUUCGAAAGAAGACGUAUAGGGCCUGACACCUGCCCGGUGCUGGAAGGUUAAGAGGGGAUGUCAUCGCAAGAGAAGCAUUGAAUCGAAGCCCCAGUAAACGGCGGCCGUAACUAUAACGGUCCUAAGGUAGCGAAAUUCCUUGUCGGGUAAGUUCCGACCUGCACGAAUGGUGUAACGAUCUGGACACUGUCUCAACCGUGAGCUCGGUGAAAUUGUAGUCCCGGUGAUGAUGCCGGGUACCCGCAACGGGACGAAAAGACCCCGUGAACCUUUACUAUAGCUUAACGCUGAAUUUGGGUACACAAUGUGUAGGAUAGGCCGGAGGCUUUGAAGCGGGCACGCCAGUGUUCGUGGAGCCGACGUUGAAAUACGGCCCUUUGUGUAUUUGAGUUCUAACCCUGCGAAGGGGACACCGUUUGGUGGGUAGUUUGACUGGGGUGGUCGCCUCCAAAAGCGUAACGGAGGCUUCCCAAGGUACCCUCAGCACGAAUGGUAACCGUGCGCGGAGUGCAAUAGCAUAAGGGUGCUUGACUGUGAGACAUACAAGUCGACCAGGUACGAAAGUAGGGUAUAGUGAUCCGGUGGUUCUGCGUGGACUGGCCAUCGCUCAAAGGAUAAAAGGUACUCCGGGGAUAACAGGCUGAUCGCCGCCAAGAGCUCAUAUCGACGCGGCGGUUUGGCACCUCGAUGUCGGCUCGUCACAUCCUGGGGCUGGAGAAGGUCCCAAG
rnacentral:rRNA from 1 species